GGAUGAUGGGAAGCCUGUUCUUGUUUAUCGGUUUGUACGGAACUUCACCCGCGGUAGAGUACGGCCUGAGAAUUUUGUUCCAGCACCGGUGUGAGGAAAACAUCUGAGCCCAUGAAUUGCCAGACCCUGGAUACCUGAGACACAUCCACUUGCUUCUCAGAUUGGACAUCUGUGGGCUUCCCUUUGCUAUGACGUUUGGAGUGCAUAAUGAGGAGAAAUAAAAACAGAAAGAUCUCCAGAAAGAAGCCAUGGUAAGAUUCAAGGUUUCACAGUCCAAGCUAAUGCCUGUGGACACUUGACCAAGUGAUCUGAGAAAAUUGGAUUUCUGGCAAAACAAGUGUACCUAGACUCAGGCAAGGGUGGAGAACAGAGGGCGACUAGAUUAAAUGGAAAGAAUGCCCAGGCAUCCCAUUGCCUCCCUUUGACGUUCCAGAACUUCAUCAAGACAGUGAUGAGCUACAUGUACACCUGGAGGAGAGUUCAGGAUCAAGCUCAGAAGCGCACAGCUGCCAGCAAGCAGUCUACUACUGAACUGCACCAUCUCUCCAGCCUGUGCUUACUCUUGAAUAGCCCCAAAGUAGUCAAUGGUAUGGCAAAAUAAACCUCCAUUUCAUUUAGAUUUUUAUAGUAUUUUUUGCCACUUAAAUUAUUUUAUGUAGUUGAGUAUGAUUUUUUUUCCCCCUAAGGAAUUCUAUGUAUCUCAAUUUCAAGAGUCUUCAGCCUUUAUGUUAUACAUAAUUUCCUAUAGAUUUCAAAGUUGCUUUAAUAAAAAGUUUAAUGUUAAAACA
rnacentral:lncRNA from 1 species